AACGAACGCUGGCGGCAUGCCUAACACAUGCAAGUCGAACGAGACCUUCGGGUCUAGUGGCGCACGGGUGCGUAACGCGUGGGAACCUGCCCUUAGGUUCGGAAUCACUCCCCGAAAGGGAUGCUAAUACCGGAUAAUGUCUUCGGACCAAAGAUUUAUCGCCUUUGGAUGGGCCCGCGUUGGAUUAGCUAGUUGGUAGGGUACAAGCCUACCAAGGCGACGAUCCAUAGCUGGUCUGAGAGGAUGAUCAGCCACACUGGGACUGAGACACGGCCCAGACUCCGACGGGAGGGAGCAGUGGGGAAUAUUGGACAAUGGGCGAAAGCCUGAUCCAGCAAUGCCGGGUGAGAGAGGAAGGCCGUAGGGUUGUAAAGCUCUUUUACCCGGGAUGAGAAUGACAGUAACGGGAGAAUAAGCUCCGGCUAACUCCGUG
rnacentral:rRNA from 1 species